GGAUUUCGGUGUCGUUGCCGACGACGGCGGCGGCGACGCCGUGCUGCUCCAG
rnacentral:sRNA from 1 species